GCCGAAGUGGCGGAAUUGGCAGACGCGCUGGACUCAAAAUCCAGUACGGUUCACCCCGUGUGGGGGUUCGACUCCCCCCUUCGGCA
rnacentral:tRNA from 1 species